UACGUAGGUGGCAAGCGUUGUCCGGAUUUACUGGGCGUAAAGGGCUCGUAGGCGGCCAACUAAGUCAUACGUGAAAUCCCUCAGCUUAACUGGGGAACUGCGUGUGAUACUGGAUGGCUUGGAUUUGGGAGAGGGAUGCGGAAUUCCAGGUGUAGCGGUGAAAUGCGUAGAUAUCUGGAGGAACACCGGUGGCGAAGGCGGCAUCCUGGACCAAUAUUGACGCUGAGGAGCGAAAGCCAGGGGAGCAAACGGGG
rnacentral:rRNA from 1 species